rnacentral:rRNA from 1 species
GACAGAGGGUGCGAACGUUGCUCGGAAUUACUGGGCGUAAAGCGUGCGCAGGCGGCUUUGCAAGACAGAUGUGAAAUCCCCGGGCUCAACCUGGGAACUGCAUUUGUGACUGCAUCGCUCGAGUGUGGCAGAGGGGGAUGGAAUUCCGCGUGUAGCAGUGAAAUGCGUAGAUAUGCGGAGGAACACCGAUGGCGAAGGCAAUCCCCUGGGCCUGCACUGACGCUCAUGCACGAAAGCGUGGGGAGCAAACAGG